CACUCACCGGCCCUUUUACUGACUGCACACGCAGACGCACACCGUGGUAGGGAUAGAAAGUCGUCUUCAGUAUAAAUGUACAACCGCAGCGGUUCAGUCAUCCCCAACGACAUGUCCCGUUCAGAUCAUAUGCCAUUUGUUGGACACCUGUAUGAGCCAGAUGGAGGAUGAUGGUGGUGAUUGAGCUUUGGCAGAAUGUCUCAGCAAUGGCAGUGCUACUUUAACACCACAGUCUGUUACGGCAGUUUAAUUACUUGAGAAAAUGGGUCUGAGAAAGCAGCUCCAACAAGAGGACCUCUACCAUCUGCAUCGACUGUAUUGAAAAUUUUUCCAGUCGGAAGGUUCAAGACUGGGGAGAUGAAACCAGAGAGAAGAUAUAGCAACAGCUAUACACUGCUGAGCAGUCUUCAGAGGAAUUGAUACUUUACAGGUAAUAAGCAAGACACGCCAAACACAUGACUGAGAUUAAACCAGUGAAAUAUUUUUCUCCUCUUCUUGUCAGACAGGCUCACCAUUAAUUUUCUGUUUGUCGUGUUUAAUUUGCCAUAUAUGAUCACUUGCAGUUUUUCAUCUGCCAGCAACAUUGUGUUACACAUAAUGCAUCAAAGCAGUGUGAAUCUGUAUCACCAGUGUGUCAAACUGACCAUUUUGUUUUUAAAGAAAUUAAAGAGCUAUUAAACU